UUGUAGAUGGGCUUACUUCAGUUUGCAAGUUGAACUAUUAAUGCUUAGUUUUGUUGUAGAGGGGCUUACUUCAGUUUGCAGAACUACCAUGAUAAACAGACAAACUGUUUAUUGACAAAGGGGAUUUGUUUUUAUGCAUUCAUAGUUAUUAUUCCUGUUAUAGGCUGGUCCUCUUUUGAGGCUACUGAUUGCAUUAGGAAGAGGAUGUUUUCUUUCGAAAAGGUUAGAAAGAGGAUGUUGAACUAAACUUCCCUUGGUUCAUUCCUUAUAUUUUUCUCAUGUUUCCUCGCAAUGGAAGGAGCACGAUAGCUUGUGGAUGGUGCUAUGGUGCAAGCAUGUAGUGGACUUGGAGGCCAGGAUUUUAGCUAUAGGAAAAGAAUGAGGCUACAACUGGUGGACAAGUGACAUGACCACGAUAAGGUGAGAGGUCUAGGUAUUCGGCCCAUACUUUCUGCACCCCUUCAUCAAUGGAUAUGAGUAGCGACGGAUGUUGCCAAGAUGACGGCUUCAGACAUAUUGAUGUAUUACUUUAAAAAUGCUGCAGGUGCACAUGAUAAGCAGUCUUGGUGAGAUUAGUGGCUGAAGCUGGCUCGCAAAUAUCUGAAGGUAUGUGCUCCUUUUGCCAUAUUUUACAUAUUGUGUAAUUGACCAAAUUUAGUUAGACUGAACUGGUAGCGUAGCUGCAUAAGAGAUACUCCCUUACUCCCUCUGUGUCGAAAUGUAAGAUGUUUUAUAGUGUUAAAAAAUGUCUUACAUUUUAAGAUGGAGGGAGUAUAAAAGAAAAGAUGCCAGGGUAUAAGUUGUAUUAUUUGAGGACCCAGUGGCCUUGUGAAGAUGAAGUAAUUGUUGUGUUUGCUCUUCAGAAAUCCAAUAGACUUUUUUUUGCGGGAAUGAAUCCAAUAUACUUCCUGUGUAGUGAAAAUGACCAAUAUGGGCAUGAAAAAAGAUGGAUCACCCUGAGGUCAGCUUGCCAAUGUUGUAAUGUUGUUCGUCCUUAACCAUCUGGCAUUGCAAACACUCUGGAUGAUGAUAAUAAUAGGUUGCUCUUUUGCCAUCAGAAAAAAUGAUACGGUUGUUGUAUUAUCUACAAUUUGCCGCUUCACUAAAGUGGUCCAUAGAGCCGAACAAGAUUUAAGUGUUUUUUUAUGAUGAAGAUUUAAUUGUUCUGAAGAUUGAUCCCUUGUGAUAUUGAUUUCUUUUAUUUGUCUACCAGGUUUGCAAUGUAAAUCUUAUGGAAGGUGACACUGUUUGAUCAAGAGAUGAACACCAUU